rnacentral:rRNA from 1 species
UGCCAGCCGCCGCGGUAAUACGGAGGGUGCAAGCGUUGAUCGGAAUUACUGGGCGUAAAGCGCACGUAGGUGGCUGCGCAAGCUGGAUGUGAAAGCCCUGGGCUCAACCUAGGAACUGCAUUCAGAACUGCACAGCUUGAGUACAGUAGAGGGUAUUGGAAUUUCCGGUGUAGCGGUGAAAUGCGUAGAUAUCGGAAGGAACAUCAGUUGCGAAGGCGAAUACCUGGACUGAUACUGACACUGAGGUGCGAAAGCGUGGGUAGCAAACAGGAUUAGAUA